UCUUUUACUUGGCGCAGGGACCAGCGUGAUCACAAAUGCCCUGGCCCCAGGUGGAGGCCCGCCUUUGCACUUUAGCCUGAGACGAUCCUUAAUCAGGCUAGCUCGUACGCGUAAUUUUUGCUUGUAGGGAGGUCUUCGGAUGAUCCCUU
rnacentral:snRNA from 15 species